rnacentral:rRNA from 1 species
CAGCUAGCUUAUCCACUAAUAUAAAUAAACAAUAUAAAUAAAAUAGAAUAGACCAAACGCCAAAAACUAAACCAUUCUUUUACCUGAGUAUGGGAGACAGAAAAGGUUCAACCAAAGCAAUAGAAAAAGUACCACAAGGGAAAGCUGAAAGAGAAGUGAAACAAUCCAUAUAAGUAUUAAAAAGCAAAGACUAAACCUUGUACCUUUUGCAUCAUGAUUUAGCCAGUAAACACAAGCAAAGAGACCUUUAGUUUGAAACCCCGAAACCAGGUGAGCUACCCCGAGACAGCCUAUUAAGGGCCAACCCGUCUCUGUGGCAAAAGAGUGGGAAGAGCUCCGGGUAGAAGUGAUAGACCUACCGAACCUGGUGAUAGCUGGUUGCCUAAGAAAUGAAUAGAAGUUCAGCCUCGUGCCCCUCAAGUCAAACAAGCACUAACCAAGAUAUUAAGAGAAAAACACGAGAGUUAGUUAAAGGGGGUACAGCCCCUUUAACAAAGGAUACAACCUUAUACAGGAGGAUAAAGAUCAUAAUAUAUAAAACAUACUGUUCUAGUGGGCCUAAAAGCAGCCACCUAAACAGAAAGCGUUAAAGCUCAGACAGAAGAAAGUUUAUUAUUCUGAUAAAAAAUCUUACUCCCCUAAAUACUAUUAGGCUAAUCCAUGCCCUCAUGGAAGAAAUUAUGCUAAAAUGAGUAACAAGAAGGCCCGCCCUUCUCCUAGCACAAGUGUAAGCCAAACCGGACCAACCAUUGGCAACUAACGAACUCAACCCAAGAGAGCAAUGUGAGCCAUAAAAAGAACAAGAAAACCCCACAACUCAAUAAUCGUUAACCCCACACUGGAGUGCUAUUAAAGGAAAGACUAAAAGAAAAGGAAGGAACUCGGCAAACACAAGCCUCGCCUGUUUACCAAAAACAUCGCCUCCUGCAACACAGCCAUGUAUAGGAGGUCCAGCCUGCCCAGUGACUACAAGUUCAACGGCCGCGGUAUUUUGACCGUGCAAAGGUAGCGCAAUCACUUGUCUUUUAAAUAGAGACCUGUAUGAAUGGCUAAACGAGGGCUUAACUGUCUCCCCUUUCAAGUCAGUGAAAUUGAUCUGCCCGUGCAGAAGCG